UGGAUCAAUGACGACUACUGGUGGCUUAUGAGUCAUAUACGAUGAAUACAUGUCUGGAUCUCUGCGGUCUAA